rnacentral:tRNA from 1 species
UCCCUGGUGGCCUAGUGGUUAAGGUUUUUGGCAUUAUUACUGCUAUGGCUCGGGUCGCUGCUGUGGCGCAGGUUCGAUCCCUGGCCUGGGAA